UACCGUUUUACACGAAUUUCAAUGGAUCUGUAAAAUGGGGCACACUAAGUUCUCUAAUAUUCACUUUUUAUAUUAAAGAUCUCAGAGGAAUCUAGUCAGAAAGUGACUCGUAUCAGUAACCUGAAUCUAGUGGGAGGAAAACGAAAAAUCAGAAAAUUGAAGGACCCAUAUUGAUACAUAUCCAAUCCAAACUACCUCUCGCUAGCCAUAUUGCGGAGUAUCCAGCAAUCUCAGAUUUUCAAAACAAACAAAACAAAAGGUACACCAAGAAAAUGCAAGAAUGUCUUAAUGCCUCAUAAAAAAAUUCUGCAUAGAAGUUGGAAUAUCUACCAUACUGGUGUCGGAAAGAAGAAGAAAAGAUAGAGAAAAACC